GCAACACUGGUUUUCAUAUACUUGAAAACAUCUCUCUUGGAAUUAUUUUGAUUACUGUUUUUUUUUCUUUCUCUCUUCAGUGCUUACCAUGGUCACCUAUCAUCCUUAAUUGAGAUUAGCCCAUAUAAGUUUCAGAAAGGAAAAGAUGUCAAAAAAGAAUUUGUACAUGUGGCACCAACUCCAGAUACUUACAGAGGAAAAUAUAGAGAAGACCAUGCAGACCCAGCCAGUGCUUAUGCAGAUGAAGUGAAGAAAAUCAU
rnacentral:sRNA from 1 species